rnacentral:snRNA from 1 species
AUGCUCGCUUUGGCAGCACAUAUACUAAAAUUGGAACAAUGUAGAGAAGAUUAUCAUGGCCCCUAUGCAAAGAUGACUAGCCAGUUGGUGAAGUGUUCCAUAUUAAA